CAGUCGCCACGGUAAAACGUAGGUGGCAAGCGUUGUCCGGAUUUAUUGGGCGUAAAGCGAGCGCAGGCGGUCAAUUAAGUCUGAUGUGAAAGCCCCCGGCUCAACCGGGGAGGGUCAUUGGAAACUGGUUGACUUGAGUGCAGAAGAGGAGAGUGGAAUUCCAUGUGUAGCGGUGAAAUGCGUAGAUACAUGGAGGAACACCAGUGGCGAAGGCGACUCUCUGGUCUGUAACUGACGCUGAGGCUCGAAAGCGUGGGUAGCAAACAGGAUUAGAUACCCCAGUAGUCCCUGUCUCUUAUAC
rnacentral:rRNA from 1 species